AUCUAAGAUAAAAAUGGCUUAGUAGAUGCAAACUAUAGCAUUUGGAGUGGAAAAGCAAUGAGGUCCUACUAUACAGCACAGGAAACUAUAUUCAGUCACCUGUGAUGAAACGUAAUGGAAGAUAACAUGAGAAAAAGAAUGUAUGUAUAUGUAUCACUGGGUCGCUUUGCUGUAUAGCAGAAAUUGACAGAACUUUGUAAAUCAACUAUAUAAAAUUUUUAAAAAUACAGCCUGUACUUGAGCCAUCUAGUUAAAUCAAUAUUCUUAUUUUUUUCACGUACAUAUGUAGUUACUUCAUAUUCCUUAUAAUCUUAUAGCUAUAACUUAAAAUAUUACUUUCCACAUUUUCACCUUAAUUUUUACCACAAAAAUACUUACAUUUUGUGAAAAUCUGUUUACCUCCCUGUUUUCCGACCUUCUCUUUGCCCACACUGUAACCAGCAUAAAAAGCCUGAGAACAUCUCUCUGUUCAUUUAAAAAUAAUAAUAGUAACAAUAAUAGCAAACACUUACUUCAUGCUUAUUAUAAGGUAGGCAUUUUUUUUAACCACAUUAGCUGCUAUAGCUCAUUUAAUCAUCACAAUUUUAUGAGGGAAAUACUCAUGUUAUCCUCAGUUUACACAUAAAGGACCUGAGGGCCAGCAUACACAGAAUAUUCAAAAUUAUAAACAAAUACAUAGACACAAACAAAGGAAGACUUUUUGGUCAUUGAAAAUAAAUAGGAAAAGUGGAAUACACUGAAUACAUUUCACUGCAGUAGCUUUUCCAGUAGAGGAUAGAUUGCCCUCUCUCCAGGUCAGAAGACCCAGCUCUAACUAAUUUUUUUUUUUUUUUUUUUUUUUUUUUUUUUUUUUUGUCUUUUGUUUUUUUAGGGCCAUACCCGCGCAUAUGAAAGUUCCCAGGCUAGGGGUCUAAUUGGAGCUGUAGCCACUGGCCUACACCAGAGCUACAGCAACACAGGAUCCGAGCCGCAUCUGUGACCUACACCACAGCUCACGGCAACACUGGAU
rnacentral:lncRNA from 1 species